AGGCACUGACUGUGUUACUGUUAAUAUAAGUCGUGACCGACUUGACUCCUGUACGGUUUAACUUAAUAUCUAUAUACAUAAUUACUGAGUGUUUGUCUAAAUUAAUAUACCAAGUCAUUUAAACUUGUUAAUAUAUUCUUCAAAGUGUUUUUUUCUUUCUUCUCCAUCACUACUCGUCGUAAUCCCCUUUGGGUGCACGACAGUAGGUAUACCUAGAUAUAUACACGAACAAUAUCACUCGAGACACUAUUAAAUAUCUGUUAUCUAUUGUUAUUUAUAAAUAAUCGUCCUUUCAAUGGGCAAUAUAAAAUAUGUUCAAUAAAUAAACACAUUUCUGGUAAAUCGUCUUUACAAUUAGUAUAUUUUCAAAAGGUAUUGAUAUCGGGAUUAGUCACUUAUGACGACAAUGUUUUCACGUUGCCCAUUAGUCAUGGUUAUGACGACAAACUUUUUGACGACGCAAUUUAAAUCGUUCAAGGAAGGAGGUAAAAGUGAAAAAAGAGAGGAAGAAGUUUUGUAGAAGGACCAACCUUUCAGCAGCCGCAACCUUUCAUCGCAUGUAAAAUUCGCCGCUAUAUUCACUUCAUCAUCAUUGUUUCGGUCGGCGACAUAAAAUUAUAUUAUGUUCACCCCGGUUACUUAUUUGCGUGCCCACUUUUCCAACGACCGAUUAGCGGUGUGUAAUAAUAGGUAAUAGCUCAAUCAGAAGUGUUCGAGAACGCCUAGCAAUACUAUUGAGCUAUGUGGUGAAUAGUGUGUAAGGUGUGUUUUUGUUGGUGUGUAUUUAAUAUGGAAGAAACAAAAAAGGUAACUAAAAAUAAUGUAAAAAUGUAA